rnacentral:rRNA from 1 species
UGUGUCCUACGGGGGGCAGCAGCCGCGGUAAUACGGAGGGUGCGAGCGUUAUCCGGAUUUAUUGGGUUUAAAGGGUGCGUAGGCGGGCUUUUAAGUCAGCGGUAAAAAUUCGGGGCUCAACCCCGUCCGGUCGUUGAAACUGGGGGCCUUGAGUGGGCGAGAAGAAGGCGGAAUGCGUGGUGUAGCGGUGAAAUGCAUAGAUAUCACGCAGAACCCCGAUUGCGAAGGCAGCCUUCCGGCGCCCUACUGACGCUGAGGCACGAAAGUGCGGGGAUCGAACAGGAUUAGAAACCCCAGUAGUCCCC